rnacentral:rRNA from 1 species
GAUCCUGGCUCAGGAUGAACGCUAGCUACAGGCUUAACACAUGCAAGUCGAGGGGCAGCAUGACGAUAGCUUGCUAUUGUUGAUGGCGACCGGCGCACGGGUGAGUAACGCGUAUCCAACCGUUCCCGUUGCUAGGGGAUAACCUUGCGAAAGUAAGACUAAUACCCUAUGAAGUUCUUCGCAGGCAUCUAAAGAGAACCGAAAGAUUUAUCGGCAACGGAUGGGGAUGCGU